UUUAUUUACUUCCCAAAAACGACGUCGUUGAUAACAUCUCUGCGAGCAAAUUAUCUUGGCGACUACCGAGUUUAGAAAAGUUUCAGCGCAUCUCCCCAACCUGCAAUCUCAACUCAGAGAGCCAAAACAAACCCUAGAAAAAUGUCGGGCGGAUUUUUCCGGGGCACGUCCGCCGAUCAAGACACUCGAUUCUCGAACAAGCAAGCGAAGUUACUCAAGUCUAAGAAAUUCGCCCCUGAAUUGGAUAACCUGGUGGACAUGACGAAAGUGAAGAUGGAUGUUAUGAGGCCUUGGAUUGCAAAGCGUGUAACGGAGCUAAUUGGAUUUGAAGACGAAGUGCUUCUAAAUUUUAUUGAUGGUCUUUUGGAGGGGAAGGAAGUUAAUGGGAAGGAGAUCCAGAUUUCACUUACUGGAUUUAUGGAGAGAAAUACGGGGAAGUUCAUGAAAGAGCUCUGGGUGCUGCUUCUGAGUGCGCAGCAAAAUGUGAGUGGUGUCCCCCAACAGUUUCUGGAUGCCAAAGAAGAGGAAACCAAGAAAAAGCAGGCAGAGACAGAUCGCAUAGCUGGUGAAAUUCAAAGGCAAAAAGAGAAGGAGAAGCAAGAAAUUGAGCUAGAGAAAGCAAAGAUGGACCGCGAUCGUGCAAUGUCAAGAGAUAAGCAUAUUGAUCUGGAGCCUAAUGUGAAACAUGGUGCUGGGGUGUCUAGCAUCCAGCCAGCCCAAGGGAAAGAACUGCACAUGAGAAAUGGCCGGGGUCAACGCAGCAGCAGGGGUUCACAGUCUCCAGAUUCCCCUCAUGAUUCACCAUCGCUGAGUGAAAGGCGAAGGUCAAGAAGCACCUCCAAAGCACCACCAUCUAGAAGUCGCUCCGUUUCCUCAGAAAGACGUCUCUCUUCACCAAGACGCUCCGUCUCGCCUCGUCGGAGGCAUAUUGUUCGCCGUUCUCCUUCGCCAUGGCGCAGAUCAUCGCAUUUGAGGCGAAGAUCACCUUCCCCUUCACGUUACAGGGUUCGUUCUCCACGGCGUUACAGGUCGCGAUCUCCCAUGCGCCGUCGAUCACGGUCCCCUGUGCGGCGUAGGUCGAGGACACCAUUACGGAGAUCACGAUCCCCUGCGCGGCGUAGGUCGAGGACACCAUUACGGAGAUCACGAUCCCCUGUGCGUGCUAUACGGCGUAGAUCACCCUCUCCUAUUAGAGGAAGAUCUCCAUCUCCAUUGCGAGGCCGUUCACCAUCUCCACGUCGCCGGUCACCAUCUCCUCGUCGACGGUCACCAUCUCCUGCAAGAAGGCGGAACCGACGUUCUCCUUCAACUCCGCGGAAGCAGUCUGCAUCUCCAAUUCGACGUAGGUCCUCUUUGCAUGGUCGGAAAAAAUCAAAAACCCCUGUCCUUCAAAGAUCUCCUUCUCACGGAUCAAGUUCCCCCUCACACAUUCAUCGGAGUUCCCUUUCACCAGUCAGGAGGGGAUCGAAGAGUGUGAGAUCACCUGUACAAUCUUCUGGGGAAAGAGUCAGACGGUAUGAGAAGUAUUCUCCUGCUCGUCGUGCUUCUCCCGAUGAAAGAAGCGAACUCCCUGUCAAGAACCGUAAAGGAAGAAGAUCUGUGGAGCGUGGGCCCAUUGUUUCUCUGAGAUCACCACAGAGGGAUAUGCUGGAUCGAAAUGAUUUAAAUGGAAAAGGGGGGGAAUCGCCACCUAUACAGAAGUCUCCAUCCGUGUCAGAUUCUUCCAGGGGCCGAAGACAUAGUGAUGAACAAAGGUCAACUAGUCCUCGUGGUAGUCCAUAUGGAAGGAGGGAAAAUAUGUCUCGUCCUGAGAGCCCAAUUCCAUUGCGAAGAGGUGCUGGGCAGAAACCUAAUCGUGAUAGUUAUGGGACAAGUCCAGAUGACAAGAAUGUCUCUAGCAGGGAGAUCAAAGAAUACAAUAAAUCCUCAACUGCCCGUCAUAAGGAUUUACAUGACUCAGCUGAAAUCCGUGGUCUCACCGACGAUACAAGGGCAAGGAAAGCCAAUCUGCCUAACAGGCUACUUGACGGAGUCGAUCAUAAAGAACAUGAACGACAAGAAUUGUCUUCAAGUACCAGAACUGCUAGUUUGAGUGUGAAAAGAAAGGAGUCGUAUGAUGUUGAUGGUGCUGAGGUGAAGGAUAAGAAAAUAGCUCGGCCAGAUGAUAGUAAGGCUGGUUAUAGGUUUCCAGAACUGGCAGAUGAUCGGAAUGGUUCAUUGGAUUCUUCCUCCAAGGAAACUGGUGAGCAUGGAGUUAAAACAAAAGAAAAGAGGAAGCACAAGAAAUCUGGCCGACAAGAGGUGGAAUCAGAUGAUUAUUCUAGCAAUGAUUCCUAUGGGGACAAGAAGGAUUCCAAACGAAGGAGAAAAGAAGAGAAGAAAUUGAAAAAGGAGGAGAAACGUCGACGGCGUGGGGAGAGACACCGCAGAAGAGACGAACGUCAUGCUGAAAAGCUAAAAUUGAAGUCAGGUGAUGCAGGUAGUUUGUCGCCAGAUCUGGCGCAAGAUCAAUCUGAAGAUGAGAGUGUUAGACGAGACUCACGGGCAAACAACAUUCAGGAGACUGAGUUUGAGCAGAAAAAGCUCGAGAUAGAGCUUCGCGAGAAGGCCCUUGAGUCUCUCCGAGCCAAAAAGGGAUUUGGCAAUUGAUCUUUCGACAACUGUUAUUUAUGAUUAUGUUCUCGUUAUCAGUUUUUUUUAUUGUUUCUAGACUUUGCGUAGUUUUGGAUGAAUGUACUCCUGAUAUCUGCUUAAUUUGAUCUAUCUUUACUGGUGGCAGCUGAAAUGGAUAAAUGACGAUUUCCUGAGCUUAUGUUGAGUGAAACUUUAUGCUGACUUUCCUGCUAAGUUUUCUGAUAUGAAUAUUAGCACCUAGAUGACUUGGUUGAGCAAAUCUUUCGCAGCUCCUUAAUCUCGAUUCUCGACUGAUCAAACAGCUUGAGAGUUGUUCCAACUAAUACGCACCUGAAGGUGAUAUAACUGCUGCAACGGUGACAUUUGAAUUGCGUUGAUCAAAUAUGCUGUAGUUUGUACAUUGAUUUUUUUUUGAAUCUAUGUUUACUGUUGCUUUGUCACCUUCACCUCAAGUUAGGCACCUAGAUUCUGCCUUUAUGUUUGAGCUAAUACAGGUGUUGUGUUCCCCCUUUAGUGUCACCACAUGUUUCGGUUUGUAUCCGACUCUAGAGUACUUUUGACAACCGUUGACUUGUCUUAAACCAUCUCAACGACGCGCAUACGUUGGCUAUACUUCAUUAUCCUGCAUGUUGUGUACGGAAACUUUCAUUUACCUGAGUGGCCGUGUCAGUAAUGUAGAUCUCCGACGUCUGGUUUAAUCAUAUGAAGUGCAAUGAAUUGUAAAAUAGGGACUGUUUGCAGGGAAUCGCAUCACAUCUAUUGUUCUUGGUGCUUUAGAGUGUAGAUAAGAUAAACUCCUCAGGAAGUAUGAAACGUAACGAUGAAAUGGUGUUGGUACGUGCCAGAAAGUAUGUUUACUGUGUCGACUUAUCUUCAGUUGAUUGGUAUUGAAUGUGUUUUCAGAUUUCGUGUGUGAAUGAGAUCGAAUUCUAGGCUGUAGAUAUGUUGUUUGCAAUUAUAUUGGAUGUGUUAAUAGGUUU